rnacentral:lncRNA from 1 species
CCGCAUUUUUUUGGUCAAUUUAUUUUAUAUUUUUUGUACUAUUUCAUAUAUCUCCUAUAUGUAUAUUUCUAUAUAUAUGUACAAUUUACGGGCUUACCGUACUACAUAUUCUACGCUGUAAUUUCUAAUUUCAUUUUAAAGAAUCAAAGAUAAUCUGAAUAAAGAAGUGUAUGUAUACGGCAUGCAGUAAUUCAUAGAGCUCCCCAAUGUCUAGCUCUCUGCACUCCUCACAGAAUCCACUGAAUAGUAAAAUUCAAUAUACAUUAUAUACAUUAUCGGUUUUAAACAAAUGUACUUUAGAAUUCCAAAUCGUACCGUUGCAUUUUUGUCACGAUAUGUGAAAACCAACUGAUCAUUAGAACACGAGUUAGUCACGCAUAUAUAUACAGCUAAUUCAAAAAAGGUUGUUCUUAGAGAAAUCUUAAGGAAAUAUUGAGCGCGCAAGGAAUGAUGGGUAUUGUUCAUUGGGAGCCUUAGAUUGGGCAUUGGCUUAGAGAACCAAAUAGCAUUACAUCGAAAGUGUUCAUUAUGUAUGCCCUAGCAUUGUUGGCAUUUGUUGCAAAGCAAACUUCCCGAGUUUAAUUAAGACUCUAAAUAAAAGUUACCGAUCGGCAUACCUUGCGCACUCAAUGUUUAAAGUUUAACAUUUUUGAAGGACAACCUUUUUUUUGAAUUAGCUAUAUAAAUAAUCAUAAUGCAUGCAAGCCGGUUACCUUUGUUCUGUGUUGGUGUUCAAAUGAGGCCGGCAGUCGAACUGUGUGUUUAACUGAGAAGUAUCUAGUUAAAAACAGAGUCCUAUAUAUGUUGCUGUGGAUAUAUACUCAGUCUCAGAGUAACAUCACAAGCAUCAUAUUCACCUGAGUACAUUACACCAACACAGAAAAGGAGUCCUAUAUGUCUUACUCUGUUUUUAACUACUGACAUACUUUUUAAUACAGAUACAUGCACACAGUAGCUGUCAGCCUCAUUUGAACACAAACCAACAUAUCAUUAAUACACUAUGUUAUUGAAGGACAACUUCGCACGUUUUACCUUUGUUCUUUUUACCUUACGCCUUCGUAAACGUGAACAAUAGUGGCAUGUAUUCAAAUUUGUCAAUUGCUAUAUAAGCUAGCGUCAGCAAAAUUGUCGGGAGCAUAUAGAAACGAACAAAGGUAACAUCACAAUUUGCUUUUCUCACCGUCGGUUUAGCCUGAGUGUAUAAACAACGUUGUAAAGUUACUUGUAUGAUUAUGGUAAAUUUACAGUUACAAAGUUGUAAAGUCGCUUUUCACAUUGUCUUAAUUGUCUAUACGAGGAAAGACUGCACUUCCAAAUUGGCGGAUAUUGGCCCGCGCCUUGCCUGCCGUACACUUGUCGGCUUAAUUUUAUACAUAUAGACUGUUCAUGCGUCAACUGUUUCUGAUAAUAUUUCUAAUAAAUUCACACCAAUGCUUUUGCCUCCAUUUUGUUUCCAUCGCCACCAUGGCUAUUUCGCUUGCCAGAUCUCCGAGAUAGGUCCAUAUUACCAGUGCGCUGGCUGGAGCCUGUCGGAGACUCAUCGCCAGAUCCUCGGCGUAGCCGAUACCAUGACGAGAUUCGCACGAAGACAAACCGGAAUCCAGUUCGGAAUUCAAACGACAUGAAACUGAAGAGAAUUGGAUUGACUGCAGUGCUCAAGAUUGUUGCCAACAUGGCGUAGUUCUUG